AGGAAUAUUGGUCAAUGGGCGAGAGCCUGAACCAGCCAAGUAGCGUGAAGGAUGACGGCCCUACGGGUUGUAAACUUCUUUUGUGCGGGAAUAAAGGAGCCUACGUGUAGGCUUUUGCAUGUACCGUAACGAAUAAGCAUCGGCUAACUCCGUGCCAGCAGCCGCGGUAAUACGGAGGAUGCGAGCGUUAUCCGGAUUUAUUGGGUUUAAAGGGAGCGUAGACGGGUUUUUAAGUCAGCUGUGAAAGUUUGGGGCUCAACCUUAAAAUUGCAGUUGAAACUGGAGACCUUGAGUACGGUUGAGGCAGGCGGAAUUCGUGGUGUAGCGGUGAAAUGCUUAGAUAUCACGAAGAACCCCGAUUGCGAAGGCAGCCUGCUAAGCCGCCACUGACGUUGAGGCUCGAAAGUGCGGGUAUCAAACAGGAUUAGAUACCCUGGUAGUCCGCACGGUAAACGAUGGAUACUCGCUGUUGGCGAUAGACGGUCAGCGGCCAAGCGAAAGCGUUAAGUAUCCCACCUGGGGAGUACGCCGGCAACGGUGAAACUCAAAGGAAUUGACGGGGGCCCGCACAAGCGGAGGAACAUGUGGUUUAAUUCGAUGAUACGCGAGGAACCUUACCCGGGCUUGAACUGCGGUGGAAUUAUCCGGAAACGGAUAAGCGAGCAAUCGCCGCUGUGGAGGUGCUGCAUGGUUGUCGUCAGCUCGUGCCGUGAGGUGUCGGCUUAAGUGCCAUAACGAGCGCAACCCUUGCUGCCAGUUACUAACAGGUCAUGCUGAGGACUCUGGCAGGACUGCCAUCGUAAGAUGCGAGGAAGGUGGGGAGGACGUCAAAUCAGCACGGCCCUUACGUCCGGGGCUACACACGUGUUACAAUGGGGAGUACAGAGGGCAGCUACCGGGCGACCGGAUGCGAAUCCCGAAAGCUCCUCUCAGUUCGGACUGGAGUCUGCAACCCGACUCCACGAAGCGGGAUUCGCUAGUAAUCGCGCAUCAGCCACGGCGCGGUGAAUACGUUCCCG
rnacentral:rRNA from 1 species